GUGGAUUAGAUACCCGGGUAGUCCACGCCCUAAACGAUGUCGACUAGUUGUCGGGUCUUUACAGACUUGGUAACGCAGCUAACGCGUGAAGUCGACCGCCUGGGGAGUACGGUCGCAAGAUUAAAACUCAAAGGAAUUGACGGGGACCCGCACAAGCGGUGGAUGAUGUGGAUUAAUUCGAUGCAACGCGAAAAACCUUACCUACCCUUGACAUGGCAGGAACUCCGCAGAGAUGUGGAGGUGCCCGAAAGGGAGCCUGCGCACAGGUGCUGCAUGGCCGUCGACAGCU
rnacentral:rRNA from 1 species